UACGGGGGGCAAGCGUUGUUCGGAAUUACUGGGCGUAAAGGGCUCGUAGGCGGCCAACUAAGUCGGACGUGAAAUCCCCAGGCUCAACCUGGGAACUGCGUCCGAUACUGGGAUGGCUUUGAAUCCGGGAGAGGGAUGCAGAAUUCCAGGUGUAGCGGUGAAAUGCGUAGAUAUCUGGAGGAAUACCGGUGGCGAAGGCGGCAUCCUGGACCGAGAUUGACACUGAUGAGCGAAAGCUAGGGGAGCAAACGGG
rnacentral:rRNA from 1 species